rnacentral:lncRNA from 1 species
UUUUCAGAUGGCUUUUAAUUUGAAACAACGGAUACAGGAAGUGUGAAGAGGAAGAGAGAAAAAGGAAUACAGAGAGAGGAGAUAUUAGAAAGGUAGAUUAAACUAAGUAACUAUAAGUUAGUUCUAAAUUUUACAGUUAAAAAGAACAUUCACUAUGUAGUGUAAAGCUGUUAGCACAGUAUUUGGGUAAACAAAGAAAUGCUAAUUCACCUCAGCGAAUAUUUCUAUACUUGCCCAGCCAGUUAACAGUGGCUCCAGACAUUGUUUUGGCCUAGCAGAUGAAGCCGGGUGUGGAGUAACUGGAUGCAGAAGAUUUUUUCAUAAUGCCUGACAGGAGCUUAUUUUCCAGGUUCAGCCCCCUAUGAGUGUGCAGGAUCUACAGGCCCAGCUGCAACCAUCCGUGGGUAAAAAGUGCUGCAGGAUUACAUAUGGAACCUGUAUUCCUACAUGACCACCUGUGUCUCAUCUUGUAUCCAGAAGAAAUCAUGCCAAACGGUCAAGAAGUGGCUCAGAAUGGAAGUGGGUCAUCUUCAGCGACAAGUCCUGCUUUGGUGGUCUUAUCUAGCUCUCCAAAAGAUUUGUGUGGAUGAAUCGAAGUAAGCAUCAAGAUGAAAGGUUUGUCACAUGCUUUGAAGGCCUGGUGUUAUGGUGUGAGGUGUAAUGAUUGGUUAAUGAGACCAGAUAAUCUUUGCCCUUCAUUACAGGAACUUUGACAGGCCAGUCGUGUUACAAUAACGAGGUCCUGCAACCAGUGGUUAUACCUUUUCUGCAUGCACACUCGAGUGCACUGUUUCAACAGGACAAUGCCUAUCCUCGCUGCUGCUGCUUUCUCAAGAGCUUGCCUUGAUGACAGAGAUGCUAUGUAAUGUCCAGGUGCAUCGCCAGACUUGAAUUGAUUGAAACUGAUUAAAAAUGUGUGGUAUCAAAUCAAAUCAAAUCAAAUUUAUUUGUAUAGCGCUUUUUACAACUGGUGUUGGCACAAAGCAGCUUUACAGAAACAUGAUUACAGGACAAAAAAUCAGGCAAAACAUUAAACAGAGAAUAUACAUAAUACAGAACCCCCAGUGAGCGCGGAGGCAAGGAAAAACUCCCUCAGAGCUGCAGGAGGAGGAAGAAACCUUGGGAGGACCAAGACUCACAUUAAAGGGGGGACCAUCCUACCACUGGUCAAAUGGCUUUUAAAUUAAUUUUAAAAAGUCUUUCAUACAUAUAUGCUUUUGGUAUGCAU